AUGCCCGAGUUUUUACACCCAAGACACUGCCCACCGGGGCCCGCCCCGUCCGGAAGAGAGAGAGAGAGAGUGGGUGAGGGAAUAUGCCGCGGAGCCCCUGCCCAGUCCCCACCAUCCUUCCCCUUCCUUCUUCCGCAUCGGCGCCACCGAGCGGCGCACCACGUGCCGCCGGCGGCGGUUCGGCCUCACGGAGAGCGGCCGCCUGACGCGUCGAUGGCCGACGGCGGAGCGACAUCGAGCGCCGCCGCUGGAGGUCGCUUCGAGGGGCGGCGGCAUGGACCGGCCGCGGGCGGGGCGUGGGUGGGCCCUCCUCUCGAAGACGCGCUCGGCGCUGGGUCACCGGCCAGUUCGGCUACCCGGACGCUGAAGUGGGGUGAUCAGGAGGACGCGCUGCUGCGGCAGCGCCUCGUCUGCACCGGCCCGCGGCGCGGGCCGAUUCGUUCCCCGCCAACGUCGUCGAACGGCGUGCCUCGUGCCGCGGCCUUCUUCCGCGCGGCCGGAGGUUCGGCCCCACGGAGAUUGGCGGGCCACGUCGGCUGCAUUUGGCCGCGCGGGGCGACGGGGAGCGCGUCGAUGGCCGCGGUGGCGUGGUGUGCGGAGCGACGGCGAGCGCCGCCGCUGAGGCUUGCUUCGAGGGGGCAGCGGCAUGGACCGGCCGGCGAGCGUGGCGUACUGGGCGUGGCCCCUCCUCUCCGUACCAAGGCCUUGUCCCUGGCACGGAGGCUGCCGAAACGGAGUCGGCGGAGAUGCGGUGGGUGGUCCCUGGCGGCGCUUAUGAAGAGGAUGAUGUCGACAGCUCCGACGACGGUGACGGCGGCACAACCACCCCCACGGUUGCCCUCUGCUCCCGUGCCGGCGGAGGCGGCUACUCGGACGCUGAAGAGGAUGUGGAGGGCGCGCUGCUGCGCCAGCGCCUCGGCCGCGCCGGUUCGUUCGACGUCCAAGCUUCCCCGGACAUUGGGGGAUGUGAUAUCCAAAAACAAGAAAUUCAGGAGGCAGUUGAGCUACCAUUGA
rnacentral:rRNA from 1 species